CCAAUAGCGUAUAUUAGUGUUGUUGCGGUUAAAAAGCUCGUAGUUGAAUUUCGGGAUUGGGGAUAUAUCGGUCGUGCCUUUAGGGGCAUGAAUCAGUGUGUGGCCAAUUCUCACCUUCUGGUGAAUUGGGAUGCUCUCGGGUGUUUCAAUGAACUAGGACUUUUACUUUGAAAAAAUUAGAGUGUUUAAAGCGGGCAUUU
rnacentral:rRNA from 1 species